rnacentral:rRNA from 1 species
ACGGGACCCGCACAAGCGGUGGAUGAUGUGGUUUAAUUCGAUGCAACGCGAAAACCUUACCCACCUUUGACAUGGCAGGAAUCCCGAAGAGAUUUGGGAGUGCUCGAAAGAGAACCUGCACACAGGUGCUGCAUGGCUGUCGUCAGCUCGUGUCGUGAGAUGUUGGGUUAAGUCCCGCAACGAGCGCAACCCUUGCCAUUAGUUGCUACGAAAGGGCACUCUAAUGGGACUGCCGGUGACAAACCGGAGGAAGGUGGGGAUGACGUCAAGUCCUCAUGGCCCUUAUAGGUGGGGCUACACACGUCAUACAAUGGCCGGUACAGAGGGUAGCCAACCCGCGAGGGGGGAGCCAAUCCCACAAAGCCGGUCGUAGUCCGGAUCGCAGUCUGCAACUCGACUGCGUGAAGUCGGAAUCGCUAGUAAUCGCGGAUCAGCAUGUCGCGGUGAAUACGUUCCCGGGUCUU